rnacentral:rRNA from 1 species
UACGUAGGGUGCAAGCGUUAAUCGGAAUUACUGGGCGUAAAGCGUGCGCAGGCGGUUAUGUAAGACAGGUGUGAAAUCCCAGGGCUUAACCUUGGAACUGCAUUUGUGACUGCAUAGCUAGAGUACGGUAGAGGGGGAUGGAAUUCCGCGUGUAGCAGUGAAAUGCGUAGAUAUGCGGAGGAACACCGAUGGCGAAGGCAAUCCCCUGGACCUGUACUGACGCUGAGUGAGCGGAAAGCCAAGGGGCAGCAAACGGG